rnacentral:rRNA from 1 species
AUACAGAGGUCUCGAGCGUUGUUCGGAUUUACUGGGCGUAAAGGGAGCGUAGGCGGUUUGGUGUGUUGAACGUGAAAUCCCACAACUCAACUGUGGAAAUGCAUUCAAAGCUACCAGACUAGAGUACUGGAGAGGAGAGCGGAAUUCUUGGUGUAGCGGUGAAAUGCGUAGAUAUCAAGAGGAACACCUGAGGCGAAGGCGGCUUACUGGACCGAUACUGACACUGAGGAUCGAAAGCGUGGGUAGCAAACAGAAUUAGAAACCCCAGUAGUCC